rnacentral:rRNA from 1 species
ACGAACGCUGGCGGCGUGCUUAACACAUGCCAGUCGAACGGUGAAGCGCCUUCCUUUUUGGUGGGUGUGGAUGAGUGGCGAACGGGUGAGUAACACGUGAGUAACCUGCCCCCUUCUUCUGGAUAACCGCAUGAAAGUGUGGCUAAUACGGGAUAUUCUGGGUCUGUCGCAUGAUGGGUCUGGGAAGGAUAUUGUUUCGGUGGGGGAUGGGCUCGCGGCCUAUCAGCUUGUUGGUGGGGUGAUGGCCUACCAAGGCGGUGACGGGUAGCCGGCCUGAGAGGGUGGACGGUCACACUGGGACUGAGACACGGCCCAGACUCCUACGGGAGGCAGCAGUGGGGAAUAGUGCACAAUGGGCGCAAGCCUGAUGCAGCGACGCCGCGUGAGGGAUGGAGGCCUUCGGGUUGUGAACCUCUUUCGCCAGUGAAGCAGGCCUGCCUCGUUUGUGGGUGGGUUGACGGUAGCUGGAUAAGAAGCGCCGGCUAACUACGUG